rnacentral:rRNA from 1 species
UACGUAGGGGGCUAGCGUUGUCCGGAAUCAUUGGGCGUAAGCGCGUGUAGGCGGUUCGGUAAGUCCGCUGUGAAAGUCGGGGCUCAACCCUCGAAGCCGGUGGAUACUGUCGGACUAGAGUACGGAAGAGGCGAGUGGAAUUCCUGGUGUAGCGGUGAAAUUCGUAGAUAUGGGGAGGAACACCGGUGGCGAAGGCGGCCAUCUGGACGGAUACUGACGCUGAGAC